rnacentral:rRNA from 1 species
CCUACGGGAGGCAGCAGUGAGGAAUAUUGGUCAAUGGUCGGGAGACUGAACCAGCCAAGCCGCGUGAGGGAUGAAGGUACAGAGUAUCGUAAACCUCUUUUGUCAGGGAAUAAAGGCAGGGACGCGUCCCUGUUUGAGUGUACUUUAUGAAUAAGCAUCGGCUAACUCCGUGCCAGCAGCCGCGGUAAUACGGAGGAUUCGAGCGUUAUCCGGUUUUAUUGGGUUUAAAGGGUGCGAAGGGGGUUUGUUAAGUCAGCGGUAAAAGUUCGGGGCUAAACCCAAGACCGCAGUUGAUACUGGCAGUCUUGAGUAGAAGUGAAGUAGGCGGAAUGCGCGGUGUAGCGGUGAAAUGCUUAGAUAUCGCGCAGAACUCCGAUUGCGAAGGCAGCAUGCCAGAUUCACACUGACGCUGAGGCACGAAAGCGUGGGUAUCGAACAGGAUUAGAUACCCCAGUAGUC